UUUGGARRAAUUUGAUCCUGGCUCAGAUUGAACGCUAGCGGGAUGCUUUACACAUGCAAGUCGAACGGCAGCGCGAGAGAGCUUGCUCUCUUGGCGGCGAGUGGCGGACGGGUGAGUAAUAUAUCGGAACGUGCCCAGUAGCGGGGGAUAACUACUCGAAAGAGUGGCUAAUACCGCAUACGCCCUACGGGGGAAAGGGGGGGAUCGCAAGACCUCUCACUAUUGGAGCGGCCGAUAUCGGAUUAGCUAGUUGGUGGGGUAAAGGCUCACCAAGGCAACGAUCCGUAGCUGGUUUGAGAGGACGACCAGCCACACUGGGACUGAGACACGGCCCAGACUCCUACGGGAGGCAGCAGUGGGGAAUUUUGGACAAUGGGGGAAACCCUGAUCCAGCCAUCCCGCGUGUAUGAUGAAGGCCUUCGGGUUGUAAAGUACUUUUGGCAGAGAAGAAAAGGUAUCCCCUAAUACGGGAURCUGCKACGGUAUMUKCAGA
rnacentral:rRNA from 1 species